GCUUGUCUCAAAGAUUAAGCCAUGCAUGUCUAAGUAUAAGCCUUUGUACGGCGAAACUGCGAAUGGCUCAUUAAAACAGUUAUAGUUUAUUCGAUAAUCAAUUGCUACAUGGAUAACCGUAGUAAUUCUAGAGCUAAUACAUGCACAAAAUCCCGACUUACGAAGGGAUGUAUUUAUUAGAUACAAACCAACAUCGUGGUGAUUCAUAAUAACUUUGCGAAUCGUAUGCCUCACGGCGACGAUGAAUCAUUCAAAUUUCUGCCCUAUCAACUUGGCUACCACAUCCAAGGAAGGCAGCAGG
rnacentral:rRNA from 1 species